ACAGUCAUCCCUCUCCAAUCAGACUUUUCCCAACUGCAGUUUUCUGUAUCCACGACUUGAAUAUACAUGAUUCUUUCAGGAUUUCAUUUGCAAGAUGCACAAUUUUUUGCGGGUGAAGGAGGAGGCACGUUGUCAAGAGGUGGAAGGAAGAAAGAGAAAGAGACAGAGAAGGGAAAGGAAGACAGAAGAGCAGAGGAAGGAGAGACAGAGGGAGAUGGAGGUGAGUGGGCAGCUGGAAUGCUGAUCAUGCUGACCCCCACCCACCCCAGUUGUGCCUGCCUGUUGCCAGCCUGCCACUAGUCAGAAAACCUCCCCCCCACGAUUAGUGUGUGGGGCAGAAGAUCUUCUGGAUAACAUGGGGAGAGAGGUAGAGAAGUGGAGGUGAGAGAGAGAUACGAGGAAGAGCUCAGUAGUGAGUAAUAACUCAGAAAAUUGGUCCAAAGCAUGCAGUCAAGGGAAAGGAAGGUGCUGUUUUGUCCCUGGAGGACAACAUCAAAGUCCUGGACUCCUUGAGGGAAGGCCAAAGCAACAGUGCAGUUGGAAGAUUGGGGUCAAGAAAUCAACCAUCUGCAGAAUGAAGAAGAAUGAGGCUGCCAUCAGAGACAGUGUUACCAGUGGGACCCAGUCCUCCCUUAAAGUCUCCUACAUACCGCAAGACCUCAACAUUGAGAAGAUGGAGAAGGCCCUGAACAUCUGGAUGGAGGACCAGACACAGGAAAAAGGUUCAUCUCAGCACCUGCAUGAUCUGCAUUAAGAUGCAGAAGAUCUACAGGCACCUGGUGGAGAGCUCUGGAGAGAGCGACCCUGAGAAGUUUUAAGCCAGCAAGGGCUGGUUUGAGAACUUCAAGAAGUGCUUCAGCCUGCACAAUGUGAAACUUGUUGGGGAGAUUGCCUCUGCAGACCAGGAGGCUACAGCAACUUUUCCUGCUGAGCUGCUGGUCAUGGAGAUGGGCUUUGUGACUAGGUGUUCAACACAGACAAGACAGGACUCUUCUGGAUGAGGAUACCUAAACACACCUUCAUUGCCAAGGAGAAGAGAAGGUCUCCAGGAUUCAAGGCUGCAAAGGACAGAAUGACCCUUCUGGUCUGCUCCAGUGCCUCAGGUGGCCUAAUGGUGAAGCCUAUGUUGGUCUACAGGUUCCUGAAUCCAUGGGCAGUGAAGAGGAAGAACAUGAACCACCUCCUUGUGUUCUGGAGGUCAAACAUGAAGGCCUGGGUAACGUGCACCAUCUUCCUGUCCUGAUUCAAUGACUGUUUUGUGCAUUAGGUGGAGCACUACCUGAGAGAGAAGAACCUGGUUUUGAAGGCACUGCUGCUGUUGAACAAUGCCCCAGGGCAUCCUCUGGACCUGUUGCUUGCCCACCCCAAUGUGGAAGUGAUGUUCAUGCCUCCAAACAUCAUGUUGCUCAUCCAGCCUCUGACCCAAGGCAUCACCCAGGCCUUCAUGAGAUACUACACAAGGCACAACUUUGAGCACAUUGCUGACCUUAUGGAUACAGGGGCGUAACUACAAUUAGGCAGGGGGAGGCCGUUGUCUUGGGGCACCCCGCCUUGGGGGGGGGGCCCUCAGAGGCUUUCCCCCACCCAGUGCCUACCCGAUCUUCCUUGUGAAGUCAUUUAAGGGGGGGGGGGCAUUUAAGAAUCUUAUCUCAGGGCCCACUCCAACCUAGUUACGCCCCUGUAUGGAUAGCAACCCGAUCUGACCCUGAAGGAAGCCUGGAAGGGCUAUAACAUCGCCCAUGCCUUGACCAUCAUCAAGGAGGCAAUGGAUGAGAUCAGGAGUAGCACCCUGAAUGUGGAAGGAGGCUGUGAAAGACAACACUACUUUGCCAGCUGCGGAGGAAGAGGUUGGGAGGAUAGUGGUUUCUGCCAGGCAACUUGGCAGCUAGGGCUUUGAGGACAUCCAGCCAGCUAAAGUUGCUGAGCUCCUAGAAUCACACUCUGAGCAGCUCACCAAGCAAGACCCAGAGGCCCUUAUUAAAUCCUCCAGUGGUCAGGAAGAAGCUGGCGAAGAAGAAGAUGACUGCACGGCCAUAGCAAAGCUGACCCUGGAAAAGAUCAACAGGUUCCUCAGACAUGCCUCAGAGUUGGCAGAUGAGGCAGUGGACAUGGACCCCUUUAGGGAGCUCAGCCUGACAUUCGGGUGAGGACUGAAUAAUGUCCAAAAAGACCUCAGGAAGAAGCUGGCACAGCCAACCCUCCUGAACUUUUUCAAGAGAGCACAGUCUGGCACUUCAGAACAACCUGGCACUCCAGAGCAGCCUGGCACUGUGGGGAGCAGCUGUGAACUGCCUGCAACA